AUUGAACGCUGGCGGCAGGCCUAACACAUGCAAGUCGAGCGGAGCGGCGGACGGGUGAGUAAUGUCUGGGAAACUGCCUGAUGUAGGGGGAUAACUACUGGAAACGGUAGCUAAUACCGCAUACCCUCAGAUGUGCCCCGAUGGGAUUAGCUCGUUGGUGGGGUAAAGGCCUACCAAGGCGACGAUCCGUAACUGGUCUGAGAGGAUGAGCAGUCACACUGGAACUGAGACACGGUCCAGACUCCUACGGGAGGGAGAAGUGGGGAAUAGUGGACAAUGGGCGAAAGCCUGAUCCAGCCAUGCCGCGUGUGUGAAGAAGGUCUUCGGAUUGUAAAGCACUUUAAGUGGGGAGGCGUUACCAACAGAAUAAGCACCGGCUAACUUCGUGCCAGCAGCCGCGGUAAUAC
rnacentral:rRNA from 1 species